rnacentral:lncRNA from 1 species
UGAUAACACUCAUGUUUCCAUUGUUUUUAGUGUUCUUAUGAUGUAAAUUUUAUAGGAAAUUGAGUGUUGGAUGAUUGUUUUGUGCUUAAAUUGCUUUAUCUUGUGAAAUAUGUUACUUGCUCGUACUUUGAUGAUUUUUACAGAAAUAUGGAGUUCGAAUUUGGACCAAUGCUCUUAAUGAAAGUUGUAGAUCGUCUCGAUACGAGUUCGUAGGCGCAAACGGUUCGCAAAUCCGAGUUCGGACGAGAAAGAUAUGGCCGAAACAAGAAAGUCGCGC